UGGAUAUCAAUUUCAAUUAUAGCAUGUUACAACACAUUAUAGCCUCGACUGAUAUUCAAAACAUUCAAAACAUUGAUUAUAUCACAACCUCCUAAACAACUCACAGACUUAUUCUCCCGACUGGUACCGUAAAGGUUCGAUGAUUUAAGAUCACAGCCUCUAAAACAGCUCGCGGAUCUACAUUCCCAAUUGAUAUUGUAAAGGUUCGCUGCUUUAAGAUCGUAGCCUCUGAAAUAGCUCAUGGACCUACAUUUUCAGCUGAUGAUUAAAGGUUAACUGAGUUAAGCUUGCGAUGUCCAGAUAUUUGAGUUAGCUGAGUUAAGCUUGCGACCCCACAUAGCUCACUGAUUUAAGAUCAUAGCUGAUAUCGAACAAUUUUCUCUGAGUCCGUUGAUUUACAAAAUAUUUUCUUACGCGAAACAUAGUUUGUAGUAUUCUGCAAUACAAUUCUUGACUCCUG
rnacentral:lncRNA from 1 species